AACGAACGCUGGCGGCAUGCCUAACACAUGCAAGUCGAACGAGACCUUCGGGUCUAGUGGCGCACGGGUGCGUAACGCGUGGGAACCUGCCCUUAGGUUCGGAAUAACUCCCCGAAAGGGGUUCUAAUACCGGAUAAUGUCUUCGGACCAAAGAUUUAUCGCCUUUGGAUGGUCCCGCGUUGGAUUAGCUAGUUGGUAGGGUAAAAGCCUACCAAGGCGACGAUCCAUAGCUGGUCUGAGAGAAUGAUCAGCCACACUGGUACUGAGACACGGCCCAGACUCCUACGAGAGGCAGCAGUGGGGAAUAUUGGACAAUGGGCGAAAGCCUGAUCAAGAAAUGCAGCGUGAGUGAUGAAGGCCUUAGGGUUGUAAAGCUCUUUUACCCGGGAUGAUAAUGACAGUACCGGGAGAAUAAGCUCCGGCUAACUCCGUG
rnacentral:rRNA from 1 species